UUCUCUUUCGUGUCAUCAUAUGCAAAUGCCACAUUUAAGCCUUGUUGCCAAUGGUUCAAGCUCCAUCAAAUGAAAUUAAGACCCAACUCUUUUCUUUCACUCACAAGCCUUUUCACCAUUCCUCUGUUUCUCUCUCCUUUGUUUUCGUCAAUCUAUUUCUGCAAUUUUCUCCAGCAUGCAAUCCAAAUUUGCUCCUUGUUUCUGCAUCAAAGUUUCAGAUCUCUUCGAGUUAUUGAAUUUAGGCACAAAAUCGUCCAAUUCGGAGUUCGGAGUUCGGAGUUGUGAGUUAUGGCCUUUGCAAGUUUGGUCUUGUUGCUGCCAUUUUCUUUCGAGGUUCUGCGAUUGUUGCUGCAGCUUCGUGGUUGCUGCUGCCGUUGUUGUGUUGUCGUUGUUGUUGAGUUGCUCAGUUUUGAAUUCCUUUGGCAAGGUAUAAAUUUGGGUUUAAGUUGUUAUUUUUUUAUCAAAUAUAAUCUGAUUUUUAUGUUAUUAAUUGUUAAUGAUCUUCACAAGUAAAUUUGAACUUUUAUUGAUUUGUAAAAUCAGUUUUGGUUGCAAGAUAUAAUCUGUGAAGCUUAACCCUUUUCAUUUACCUGUAAAACCUAAAGUUCAGUUUGUUAUAAGAGUUGUUAAGGUGAAAGGUUGAAUCUUUCUUCUUAUUUUAACACAUUAGGAUAUAUUUUGAAGCUCUAUAAUGCAAGUUUAGAUUUCUCCAAAGUUAGUUACUAAAACAUAUUUUUGUAAGUAAACUUAUUUAUAAAUUUGAUUGGAGUUAUGAUUUCACAUCUCCGAAUCAGUGUAGUAAUUUCCAAAAUAAGGUUAAUUAGAGUUAGUAUGUGAGAUUGAUAAUGUGAGUUAGGUUGUGGAAUGUUAGUUCGCAUAUAGAGUAAAAGUAAGUUAGUUUCUUUAUUUUAAUUGUAGUGAGAAUGAAUAAUAAUUGUUGUUAUUGUUUGGAGGUCAUUGUUAUGAUUGUUAAUUAUGCUAUUAUUAUUGAGGUGAUUAUUGUGGAGUUCAAGAUGGACUUGGAGAUCGAGUUUUGAUGCUUGGAGGUUUCGUAUAAUUGUUCUUGAGUUGAGGUUCGUGUUGGAAGCUCGAAAUGGAUCAAAAGGGAAGAGUUUAGUUGUUGUUGUAAUUUGAUUAAUGAUUCUCAUGUUGUAGCUAGAAGCAUUCAAAUAUUUAUUAGAUUAUAAGAUAUUCUUUGUUUGGGAAUCGAGUAAAGUAUUUUUUUAGUAUGA